rnacentral:rRNA from 1 species
UGAGGAAUAUUGGUCAAUGGGCGCGAGCCUGAACCAGCCAAGUCGCGUGAGGGAUGGCGGUCCUACGGAUUGCAAACCUCUUUUGCCGGGGAGCAAGCGUGCGUUCGUGAACGCGCGUCGAGAGUACCCGGAGAAAAAGCAUCGGCUAACUCCGUG